rnacentral:rRNA from 1 species
CGGGGUGCAGCAGGCGCGAAAACUUUGCAAUGCGGGAAACCGUGACAAGGAAACUCUGAGUGCCCGUUAAAUCGGGCUGUCCAUCGGUUUAAAUAACCGGUGAAGAAAGGGCCGGGCAAGACCGGUGCCAGCCGCCGCGGUAAUACCGGCGGCUCGAGUGGUGGCCACUAUUACUGGGCUUAAAGCGUUCGUAGCUGGUUUGUUAAGUCUCUGGGGAAAUCUUCCGGCUUAACCGGAAGGCGUCUCAGGGAUACUGGCAGACUAGGGACCGGGAGAGGUGAGAGGUACUCCAGGGGUAGGAGUGAAAUCCUGUAAUCCUUGGGGGACCACCUGUGGCGAAGGCGUCUCACCAGAACGGCUCCGACAGUGAGGGACGAAAGCUGGGGGAGCAAACCGGAUUAGAUACCCGGGUAGUCCCAGCUGUAAACGAUGCGCGUUAGGUGUAUCGGUGACCACGAGUCACCGAGGUGCCGAAGAGAAAUCGUGAAACGUGCCGCCUGGGAAGUACGGUCGCAAGGCUGAAACUUAAAGGAAUUGGCGGGGGAGCAC